rnacentral:rRNA from 1 species
CACGUAGGGCGCAAGCGUUGUCCGGAAUUAUUGGGCGUAAAGAGCUCGUAGGCGGUCUGUUGCGUCUGCUGUGAAAAUCCGGGGCUCAACCCCGGACUUGCAGUGGGUACGGGCAGACUAGAGUGUGGUAGGGGAGACUGGAAUUCCUGGUGUAGCGGUGAAAUGCGCAGAUAUCAGGAGGAACACCGAUGGCGAAGGCAGGUCUCUGGGCCACUACUGACGCUGAGAAGCGAAAGCAUGGGGAGCGAACAGG